UGAUAACAGCAUUUUUCUUAACGUCUUCUUAGAUCUUUAAAGUCACUAAGCAUUUUUGUCUCUACAGUUUGAAUUCAAUCUGUUAGAUUAACACUUUAAGUUUCCGCGUUGUGAAUUAGGCACAGGAUAUCGUGUGAGUAGUGUGUUUGGCCACAAGGGCACUAUCUCCCCAUCUCCCCCGAUAAUUGAAGAGGAAAAAAAAGUUUUCAAAAUGGCAGCCAAAGAAACGGCCGUUGAGAAAGAAAUUAGAUUAGC